rnacentral:tRNA from 2 species
CAGAGAGUAGUUUAAUUAAAAUUUUAAUUUUGGAGAUUAAGGAUGAAUAUAAUAAUAUUUCUCUCUGA